rnacentral:rRNA from 1 species
UGCCAGCAGCCGCGGUAAUACGAAGGGACCUAGCGUAGUUCGGAAUUACUGGGCUUAAAGAGUUCGUAGGUGGUUGAAAAAGUUGAUGGUGAAAUCCCAAGGCUUAACCUUGGAACUGCCAUCAAAACUUUUUAGCUAGAGUAUGAUAGAGGAAAGUGGAAUUUCUAGUGUAGAGGUGAAAUUCGUAGAUAUUAGAAAGAACACCAAAUGCGAAGGCAACUUUCUGGAUCAUUACUGACACUGAGGAGCGAAAGCUAGGGGAGCAAACAGGAUUAGAUA